AUGUUUGCAACCCUCGCUCGGCUACCUGCUUUGAGUCCCGGAUGUCUGCGGAGCUCUCUCAUUUCGCUCCACACGGACUCAGAGCGGAAGUCGCUCCUAGUCCGCGCCUUUGCUUUUCUCCACGCGGCAGGGGCCUGCACCGGGUGCCCCCCUUCCGGCCACGCGAGCCUCCUCGCCGCAGUGUCGUCCUCCAGAAGGGUGUUGACAGGGUCCCGGACUUCAACCUGUACCCGCCCCCUUCCCGCCCAGCUCUUCGGAGAUGCGCGGCUCGCGAGGGGGCUUGGUCCGAUGAAAGUUCCUGGGAAUCGGAGUUCCUGUCGUGGCACAGCGGAAACACAUCCGACGAGGAACCAUGAGGUGGCGGGUUCGCUCCCCGGCCUCACUCACUGGGUUAAGAAUCCGGCAUGGCUGUGA
rnacentral:lncRNA from 1 species